rnacentral:rRNA from 1 species
UACGGGGGGAGCAAGCGUUGUUCGGAUUUACUGGGCGUAAAGGGCGCGUAGGCGGUCGUGACAAGUCACUUGUGAAAUCUCCGGGCUUAACUCGGAACGGUCAAGUGAUACUGCUCGGCUAGAGUGCGGAAGGGGCAACUGGAAUUCUUGGUGUAGCGGUGAAAUGCGUAGAUAUCAAGAGGAACACCUGCGGCGAAGGCGGGUUGCUGGGCCGACACUGACGCUGAUGCGCGAAAGCUAGGGGAGCGAACGGG